UACGUAGGUCCCGAGCGUUGUCCGGAUUUAUUGGGCGUAAAGCGAGCGCAGGCGGUUUGAUAAGUCUGAAGUUAAAGGCUGUGGCUCAACCAUAGUUCGCUUUGGAAACUGUCAAACUUGAGUGCAGAAGGGGAGAGUGGAAUUCCAUGUGUAGCGGUGAAAUGCGUAGAUAUAUGGAGGAACACCGGUGGCGAAAGCGGCUCUCUGGUCUGUAACUGACGCUGAGGCUC
rnacentral:rRNA from 1 species